rnacentral:rRNA from 1 species
UACGGAGGGUGCAAGCGUUAUCCGGAUUUACUGGGUUUAAAGGGUGCGUAGGUGGGUAGGUAAGUCAGUGGUGAAAUCUCCGAGCUUAACUCGGAAACUGCCAUUGAUACUAUUUAUCUUGAAUAUCCUGGAGGUGAGCGGAAUAUGUCAUGUAGCGGUGAAAUGCUUAGAUAUGACAUAGAACACCAAUUGCGAAGGCAGCUCACUACGGGAUUAUUGACACUGAGGCACGAAAGCGUGGGGAUCAAACAGG